rnacentral:lncRNA from 1 species
UUGACUCGUAAUUUUUCUGUUUGCUUCAAACAAGUUACUAAGACUAACUGUGGUGUUUGGAAGGAAGUGAGACUACAGUGAUACUUUUUCUCUGUUUCUAAAUGCAGCCAGAGUCAGACUCUUGUAAUGAGGAAAUGAGUGUGGCUGGCUGUGCACAUUCGGUGGAGGGGAAGAGUGUUGGAAAUCAGUUUUUUGUAAAUUAAGGUUGGAAAGAGAUACUAAGGAAAGGGGGACAAUCCAAUUUAAAGCUGUUACAGUUCAACAACUUGUAUGGUCUGCAAGGAGGGGGCUGGCAUCUUAGUGCACAUGGUUCUACUUCUA